rnacentral:tRNA from 1 species
AGUUAUAUAGUUUUAAAUAAAAUAUUAAUUUUGUAAAUUAAAGAUAUAAAAUUAUUAUAACUU